UUUACGGCUUCCAGAAUAAUCUGGCUUCCACUUCUCCCAGUGUGCUCACCACUAGUGGAGGCAACGUACAUGCCACCGUUGGAGGUACGGCAGCAAGUUCUGAAAAUAUCGACUGUACCUCACAUUCUACAUGCUUGCAUUCACAUACAAUACAAAAUAGCUAACUUUCCUUUGUGAGUGUUUAACUGUGUUUGUACUGACAGGUUAUGGCGUUCAGAAGAACUUGUCAAAUGGCGGCGGUGGUGUGGUCAGCUCUGGCGUCUCUACAACCACCAGAUCCCAAGCUGAUGAUUCGUAUAAGAAAGACUACAAGUUCCUGGUCUCUGACAAGGAGAACGCUCCAGUCAAGAGGGAUGCAGAGAUGCUCAUUUUGGCUAAAGACAGCGGGAAGCAUUUCACCAGCAGCAGCGUUCAGAUGGGAGGAGGGUCGAUAUCAGGAGAUUCAAUGAUGAAAGAGAAGCUUAUUUCAAGCUACAGUGAGACAAUGCCACUGAAGACAGAGAAAGGCAACUCCUACUAUGGUUCAUCUGGAGUUGUAAUGAAAGACAAAGCCACCUAUGCAGAGAUUCACAAGGAGAACGGCAUCUUCGGAGGGGGAGGACUGUGCUGCUGCUCCGACGCCUGUUGCUCUUGGUGGAAAUGGCUGCUGGGUCUCCUCCUCCUCUCCCUGCUCCUGCUGGGGCUCCUGUUUGGGCUCAUUGCACUGGCUGAAGACGUGAGAUCGCUGAAGAAUCGAGUGUCUACGCUGGAGGCCGAGUCCUCGGUGGCUGCCGCUCGUACAAGCCGGUUCUCCGCUUCCUCCAAUGACAUCAACACCUUCGGGGCAGCCGGAGCCGGAGGUGCCGCGCACUCUGACAACGUGCUGCACGUCAACGCUGGAGGUGGAGGCUCAACCUCCAAAACUCGAAUCGGCAUUGCAGCCGGGGCUGCCGGCUCGUCUGCCGGAAACGGCGUCGACGUCAUCGUCGGAGCCGGUUCCGCUGGCAACGGUGGGGCCGGCGGGUCCAUCGGGGGCGGUGCUGCAGGCGGCGGUGCUGCAGGCGGCGGUACCAGCUUUAGUGGCAGUUCAGGCAGCAGUGGCAGUACUGGUACCAGUUCCAGCAGAAGUUCUGGCAGUUUUGCCAGUUCUGGCAGUUCUAACAGUUUUGGCAGUUCUGGCAGUUCUGGCAGUUCUGGCGGUGCUGGCGGUGCUGCCAGUGCUGGCGGCACCAGCUUCAGUGCCACUGAUCUGGGGACGGGAGUAAGCAGAGGACAAAUAGACGCUGCCGCUCUUCAGAUGACAAUCCAGCAGAUGUUGAGAAGUGAAAUGAAUUCACAGUCAUACAGAGCUUUUAUAGCGUCAUCGGUGCAGGGAGAGCGAGGACUGCCUGGACCUAAAGGUGAAAUUAAAAUACCUAUUUCAUAA
ensembl:lncRNA